CCAGCCCGCUCAGAAACUCAAUGAAUUGGACGGGGCCCGCACAAGCGGUGGAGUAUGUGGUUUAAUUCGAUGCAACGCGAAGAACCUUACCUGGUCUUGACAUCCCGGAGACCCUUAGGAAACUAGGGGGUGCUUCCAUCUGGAAGAAUCUGGAGACAGGUGCUGCAUGGCUGUCGUCAGCUCGUGUCGUGAGAUGUUGGGUUAAGUCCCGCAACGAGCGCAACCCUUGCCUUUAGUUGCCAGCAGUUCGGCUGGGCACUCUAAAGGGACUGCCGGUGUUAAACCGGAGGAAGGUGGGGAUGACGUCAAGUCCUCAUGGCCUUUAUGACCAGGGCUACACACGUACUACAAUGGCCGAUACAAAGGGCAGCGACACUGCGAGGUGAAGCCAAUCCCGUAAAAUCGGUCUCAGUCCGGAUUGGAGUCUGCAACUCGACUCCAUGAAGUUGGAAUCGCUAGUAAUCGUGGAUCAGCAUGCCACGGUGAAUACGUUCCCGGGCCUU
rnacentral:rRNA from 1 species